rnacentral:tRNA from 1 species
CGCGGGUGGAGCAGCCGGUAGCUCGUCGGGCUCAUAACCCGAAGGUCGUCGGUUCAAAUCCGCCCCGCAACCA